UGUCCCAGUUCGGACUGGAGUCUGCAACCCGACUCCACGAAGUUGGAUUCGCUAGUAAUCGCGCAUCAGCCAUGGCGCGGUGAAUACGUUCCCGGGCCUUGUACACACCGCCCGUCAAGCCAUGGGAGCCGGGGGCGCCUGAAGUCCGGGACCGCGAGGACCGGCCUAAGGCGAAACUGGUGACUGGGGCUAAGUCGUAACAAGGUAUC
rnacentral:rRNA from 1 species